rnacentral:rRNA from 1 species
AACGAACGCUGGCGGCAGGCCUAAAACAUGCAAGUCGAACGAACCUUCGGGUUAGUGGCGCACGGGUGCGUAACGCGUGGGAAUAUACCUCUGGGUGCGGAACAACGUCUGGAAACGGACGCUAAUACCGCAUAAUAUCUACGGAUCAAAGAUUUAUCGCCCAGAGAUUAGCCCGCGUCUGAUUAGCUAGUUGGUGAGGUAAUGGCUCACCAAGGCGACGAUCAGUAGCUGGUCUGAGAGGAUGAUCAGCCACACUGGAACUGAAACACGGUCCCGACUCCUACGGAAGGCAGCAGUUGGGAAUAUUGGACAAUGGGGGAAACCCUGAUCCAGCCAUGCCGCGUGAGUGAAGAAGGCCUUAGGGUUGUAAAGCUCUUUCGGCUGUGAAGAUAAUGACAGUAGCAGAAGAAGAAGCUCCGGCUAAAUUCGUGCCAGCCGCCGCAGUAA